rnacentral:lncRNA from 1 species
UUGAUUCUGUGUACAGAUUAAGUAAAUUGAUUCAAUAAACCUAGGAAAUAAGAAACCUAUAUUACAUACUUAGGUAAAUAUCUAAUUAAAGAUAAUCUUUAUAAAAAUGAUUUAAUAUUGUGGGCGCAGUGGCACACGUCUGUAAUCCCAGCACUUUGGGAGGCCGAGGCGGGUGGAUCACAAGGUCAGGUGAUCGAGACCAUCCUGGCUAACAUGGUAAAACCCCGUCUCUACUAAAAAUACCAAAAAUUAUCCGGGUGUGGUGGUGGGCGCCUGUAGUCCCAGCUACUCGGGAGCUGAGGCAGGAGAAAUGCGUGAACCUGGGAGGUGAAGCUUCAGUGAGCUGAGAUCGUGCCACUGCACUCCAGCCUGGGCGGCAGAGUGACACUCCAUUUCAAAAUGAAUGAAUGAAUGAAUGAAUGAGUGAAUGUAAUCCACCCUAUCAUUAAACUUCGUCCUAGUACUGCUGCUUUUCUUUUUUUUUUUUUUUUUCAAGCUCUAGUUUCACUACUUACUGGAGAUGUUACUUUGGCAAAGCCUUUGAGAAUGUAAAACAGGGAAGACACUUCAUAGAGUGGCUGCAAGGUGGCUGGACAUGGAGUGCAUGCUUAACAUGUUUCUUUUCUCUCCUUCCCUGUUUUAAGAGAUGAAAUACGCAUGCUGUAAAGACUCAUACUUUUUGCUAAAACGCCUGGGUUCAAGACAUCGAAGUUGGCAUAAGAAAAUAUUUUCUUUAGUUGAA